rnacentral:tRNA from 1 species
GCCCGGAUGGCGGAAUUGGUAGACGCGCUCGUUUCAGGUGCGAGUGUCGCAAGACAUGGAGGUUCGAGUCCUCUUUCGGGCACCA